AGAGAGUUUAGAAUUAGUUAUGCUAUAUUAUCUAAGCCACCGUUUGGUUGGGGGUUAAGGGGUGGAAUAACCCCUUAACCCCCAAUUUAUACCCAAACACUACUCUUUUGGGGUGGGGUUAGUAAACCCCACCCCAAACCGGGUUAGUGGGGUUUACUAACCUCACUCCUCCUCCCAACUUUAACCCCGCACGCAUUCCGAGCCCUCACCUAUUUCUUAUUUAUCAAUCAUUAACCCCACUCCCCCUUCCAACUUUAACCACGCACGCAUCCCGAGCUCUUACAUUUUUCUUCUUUAUCAAUCAUUAUUUUCUUAUCCCACCUACUCCAACCAAACACUUUUUUUCACUAUCCUAGACUAACUUCAACCUCCAACCAAACACAAAAAAAUUUUAACACCAUUUUAACCCUGAACUUAACCCUAUCCCUGAAAUAGCUACUUUUUCUUAACCCCGAACCAAACGGGGGCUAAAAGAUUGAUUUAGUAUGAAUCAGUAUAAACACUAGUAAGUUGAAUGAUGGAAUUGAAAAUAUAAGAUGAAAUAUAUGACAUCUUUUCCUAGUGAUGCUUUGAUUCUGUUAGAUAAGUUUAGGUAAAAAUGUGUAAAAUUUACUUCAAC
rnacentral:lncRNA from 1 species